GCGCCCGUAGCUCAGUUGGCAGAGCGGUGGUACGGUACCCCACGGUUUCGGAUUCAAAUGCCGGCGGUCGCU